GACGUCGAUAUUCGACGUCAUAAACACGAUCAACUUUGGUGUUUAUGACGUCGAUAUUCGACGUCAUAAACACGAACAAGUUUGGUGUUUAUGACGUCGAUAUUCGACGUCAUAAACAUGAUCAACUUGGAUGUUUAUGACGUCGAUGUUCGACGUCAUAAACACGAACAAGUUUGGUGUUGAUGACGUCGAUAUUCGACGUCAUAAACACGAACAAGUUUGGUGUUUAUGACGUCGAUAUUCGACGUC
rnacentral:miRNA from 1 species